GACGAACCGUGCAAACGUUGUUCGGAAUCACUGGGCUUAAAGGGCGCGUAGGCGGGCAAGCAAGUCCGGGGUGAAAUCUUUCGGCUCAACCGGAAAAGUGCCUUGGAUACUGCUUGUCUGGAGGGAGGUAGGGGCAUGCGGAACUUCUGGUGGAGCGGUGAAAUGCGUUGAUAUCAGAAGGAACGCCGGUGGCGAAAGCGGCGUGCUGGAACUCUUCUGACGCUGAGGCGCGAAAGCUAGGGGAGCAAACGGG
rnacentral:rRNA from 1 species